rnacentral:rRNA from 1 species
AGUCGAACGGCAGCGCGGGGCAACCUGGCGGCGAGUGGCGAACGGGUGAGUAAUAUAUCGGAACGUACCCAAGAGUGGGGAUAACGUAGCGAAAGUUACGCUAAUACCGCAUACGAUCUAAGGAUGAAAGCAGGGGAUCUUCGGACCUUGUGCUCCUGGAGCGGCCGAUAUCUGAUUAGCUAGUUGGUGAGGUAAAGGCUCACCAAGGCCACGAUCAGUAGCUGGUCUGAGAGGACGACCAGCCACACUGGAACUGAGACACGGUCCAGACUCCUACGGGAGGCAGCAGUGGGGAAUUUUGGACAAUGGGCGAAAGCCUGAUCCAGCAAUGCCGCGUGAGUGAAGAAGGCCUUCGGGUUGUAAAGCUCUUUUGUCAGGGAAGAAACGGUGGGGGCUAAUAUCCCUCGCUAAUGACGGUACCUGAAGAAUAAGCACCGGCUAACUACGUGCCAGCAGCCGCGGUAAUACGUAGGGUGCAAGCGUUAAUCGGAAUUACUGGGCGUAAAGCGUGCGCAGGCGGUUUUGUAAGUCUGACGUGAAAUCCCCGGGCUCAACCUGGGAAUUGCGUUGGAGACUGCAAGGCUAGAAUCUGGCAGAGGGGGGUAGAAUUCCACGUGUAGCAGUGAAAUGCGUAGAGAUGUGGAGGAACACCGAUGGCGAAGGCAGCCCCCUGGGUCAAGAUUGACGCUCAUGCACGAAAGCGUGGGGAGCAAACAGGAUUAGAUACCCUGGUAGUCCACGCCCUAAACGAUGUCUACUAGUUGUCGGGUUUUAAUUAACUUGGUAACGCAGCUAACGCGUGAAGUAGACCGCCUGGGGAGUACGGUCGCAAGAUUAAAACUCAAAGGAAUUGAC